GGGCUUCCCUCUGGCUCCAACACCUUCAGAGAACACUGCUCCAGGUCCAGGCAACUGAAACAGCAGAUUGAAGUCAUGAAGUGCCUAAUAUGUGGCUGGACAUUAUAGGUGCUGUACGGAAAAAUCCCUGGGAGAUUCUCCAGGCCUCGCCACCCCAAUCAACCUACAUGGAGCUAUCUAACUGCCAUCAUGGAAGACUCACAAAACUCAGCCGACUCUUACCAGAGUCUACCUUGAAUUCCAAGAUUCUAAAAAUGAACAGUGUAUACACAAGCUUCUAGAGUUGAUACUUAUGAAACUGCAACGGAAUGAAUCAAAUAUAAAAGAAUCUAUCUCUGCAAUUAAACUAAGACACCAUAAAGAUGUUCAAAGCACCCAGCAGUUUGAAGCAGGAAGAAUGCUACAUGAUCCAGACUAGACUGGCUGUUCCAGGACACCUCCGGCUACAGUGAGAAACCAAGAAGAAAAAAAGAGCCUUCAAGAUGAAUAUGACGAUGACAGCUUGAAAUCCCAGCAUGAGGGAGGCUCAGUCAGGAGGACAGAUUUUAAAAAUGUUAACCGAUGCGCUAUUUAUUUUUGGACAAACUUUUUCUGAAGAAAAAAACAAAACAAAACAAAACAACGACAUCGUUUCUGCUACCAUGUAAGAAUUACUUUUAAGGCCAAUAUUUUUAAGAGUUAUUGGUUUUACUUUCAAAUAGUAAAUAUCCGUAAACACCUGCAAAAUAUA